rnacentral:rRNA from 1 species
UGCAGAAUCCCGUGAACCAUCGAGUCUUUGAACGCAAGUUGCGCCCCAAGCCUUCUGGCUGAGGGCACGUCUGCCUGGGUGUCACAAAUCGUCGUCCCCAUCCUUUGCGGAUACCGGACGGAAGCUGGUCUCCCGUGUGUUACCGCACGCGGUUGGCCUAAAUCUGAGCUGAGGACGCCUUGGAGCGUCUCGACAUGCGGUGGUGAAACAAAGCCUCGUCAUUUUGUCGGUCGCUCCUGUCCAAAUGCUCUCGAUGACCCAAAGUCUUUAACGCGACCCCAGGUCAGGCGGGAUCACCCGCUGAGUUUAAGCAUAUCAAUAAGCGGAGGAGAAGAAACUAACAAGGAUUCCCUUAGUAACGGCGAGCGAACCGGGAAGAGCCCAGCUUGAAAAUCGGACGUCUUCGGCGUUCGA